CCCCGGUAAACGGCGGCCGUAACUAUAACGGUCCUAAGGUAGCGAAAUUCCUUGUCGGGUAAGUUCCGACCUGCACGAAUGGCGUAAUGAUGGCCAGGCUGUCUCCACCCGAGACUCAGUGAAAUUGAACUCGCUGUGAAGAUGCAGUGUACCCGCGGCAAGACGGAAAGACCCCGUGAACCUUUACUAUAGCUUGACACUGAACAUUGAGCCUUGAUGUGUAGGAUAGGUGGGAGGCUUUGAAGUGUGGACGCCAGUCUGCAUGGAGCCGACCUUGAAAUACCACCCUUUAAUGUUUGAUGUUCUAACGUGGACCCGUAAUCCGGGUUGCGGACAGUGUCUGGUGGGUAGUUUGACUGGGGCGGUCUCCUCCUAAAGAGUAACGGAGGAGCACGAAGGUUGGCUAAUCCUGGUCGGACAUCAGGAGGUUAGUGCAAUGGCAUAAGCCAGCUUGACUGCGAGCGUGACGGCGCGAGCAGGUGCGAAAGCAGGUCAUAGUGAUCCGGUGGUUCUGAAUGGAAGGGCCAUCGCUCAACGGAUAAAAGGUACUCCGGGGAUAACAGGCUGAUACCGCCCAAGAGUUCAUAUCGACGGCGGUGUUUGGCACCUCGAUGUCGGCUCAUCACAUCCUGGGGCUGAAGUAGGUCCCAAGGGUAUGGCUGUUCGCCAUUUAAAGUGGUACGCGAGCUGGGUUUAGAACGUCGUGAGACAGUUCGGUCCCUAUCUGCCGUGGGCGCUGGAGAA
rnacentral:rRNA from 1 species